rnacentral:lncRNA from 1 species
GUAUCCCACAGUCUCUCUCUCCCAGUUUCAAGUGUGACCACCUCCUGGGUGGGGUGCGUUUCCUCCCUCCGUUCUUAAUAUCCUAGAGAGUCGCUAGAUUUUCCUUGUUUCCGCCCCCCCCCCCCCAAACAUAACUCUCAACACCAUUAAAUAAAUCAAGAGGAAGGAAGAGGAUCCAGGCCUUCUUGCUUUGCACCUCCUUUGCCCGUGUCCGGGAAAGAGGGGGGUGGUGGUAAUAAUUAAUAGGGUUUAUUUUGAGCCCUGUGGAGCCUGAGGGAUGGAGAAUGGACACCCCCCCACACACCCCCUUUUGGACCCGUCAGUGAUGACGGUCCUCUGGUCUCCAAGCCAGAAUUCACCAUUUUGGCUUGAGCUCUUCAUCCUCGUCAGUGUUUGAAGGGAAAACUAGGCGGAAAAAAAGUACCCUUCCAGCUGUAUCAGUGGAUACUGGUUGACCCUGGUGAGGUGCCUCAGAGGAAGAGCCCUACUCCUAAGCUCCUUCCUGUCCAGAGGAUGGACUGUGCCCUUGACCAGAAACGGAGGGGGAGGAGGGAGCAGAGAGACGAGCGACAGCUGGCAGCCCUUUCUCACCCCCUAGAAGAGCCAGAACGCCACACAUCAGGCGACAACUUAGCGGCUAGCCGAGGGGGUUCCCG